rnacentral:lncRNA from 1 species
AGCUUAAUUUCUCACAACAAAAAACUCAUUUCAUCAAUCACUUCAAAUCAUUUUCUUUUGGGAAAUGGCUUCUAAUGUUAAAGCAUCAACUGCUCUUGUUCUUUCUCUUAACCUUCUUUUCUUUGCUUUUGUAAGCUCUCACAACGUGGAAAACCCCGUUUUUAUUCAUCCCGGAGAUGUGUACCAUAAUGGCAGAAUCACUCAUGGUCAUCCCGGUACAUGCAAUCCCCUAAAUCUCGGUGUAUGCCUUGGCCUGUUGGAUUUGGUGGGUGUUAGUGUCGGAAACGUACCUACAGAACCAUGUUGCAGCGUGAUUCAAGGAUUGGUCGAUCUUGAAGCUGCAGUUUGCCUUUGCACUGCUGUCAGAGCCAAUGUGUUGGGCAUUCCCAUCCACCUUCCUAUUUCAUUGAGCCUCUUACUCAAUAAAUGUGGAAGAGAAGUAGCUACGGAAUACAUUUGCAGCCCUUAAAUAGCCUUCUUCCCCACAUUCUUUGCUUUAAUUGUGUCUUGAAGUUUCCGUUUUCUAUUUGUUCCAUUUUUUAUGUUUCCUUUCUGAUUAAGUCUUUGUAUUGUUGCUCAUGAGUUGAGGACGGCUUUCAACCUUCCCUUUCAUUUUUAUUCUAAAUAAAAUGAGAAUAUUAUUUGAACAAAAAAUCCUAUUUUAUCAUAAUGAGUUGGAAGGGGUGUUUUUAGGGGGAAAAAUCAUAAUUAAUAUUUUCAACAUUAUUUUUAAUGUUAUAUGACUACCAAGUGGAUUUUUUAUUUCAAGGUGUCAAACCAGUGAAUUUAAUAGAAGAAUUUUAACAGCUGUGACUGUUGGACUUGAAUUUCUAUAUUCAUAAAAUACAGAGAUUAGAUUCCUCAAAAUACAAGUAGGAGACUAACCUCCUAAUGCACGAAGCGUACAUAUACUUAGAGCAUAUUUUAACCUCCCAAUCAAUUAAUCAAUCCAACGCGAAGCGUGGAAACCAUACCAGUUAGUGUAAAAAUAUUGAUCGCGUAUUUUUAUAUUUCAAUUUCUUUCCUAAAUACUCAGAUAUACAAAUUUUACUUGAAACUCUAUUCUAAUGUGCAAUGUUAUACAUAAACUUUGAUUUUGUGUAAUUUGGUUUCAUCCAAUUUUUAUAAAUCUCUAACACCAUUAGCAAUGCAACACCAUUUUAUAUGUAUAUGUUGCAUCCACAAAUAUUUAUAUUUAUAUUUAUGUGAUGUAAAAUAAAAUAAAUCGAUGUAUUUAUUUCUUUAAAUACAUAUAGUUGAAUUAAAAUCAAAGUUUCAACUAUACAUUUGAACCGCGAUUAAAUUUUCGUGCGCAUAAUUUCACCAAAUUAAAGUCGGUGUAUCAAAGUUCACAUUCAAUCAAAUUUCAUGUACAAUUUUGAGUUUUAUCCCUUUAUUUAGAGACCAGCUACAUUACUUAUUUCAAGUGUUUUACUGAGUUGGUGUGUAAUGUGGGUUCCUAUUUAAGCCAUCAAUUAAAGAAAGAAAAAUGCAUGUGUUGAGCCGAGGGACAGAAAACAUAAAAAAUGGUAAAUGCAGUUGUAGCCGUCUAGGUAAGUUUCUCGUUUUUUUUUCUUUUUCCACCUAACUAUUAAAACUUAAAAAAUGGUCAUUCAACUGUUAGACUUCUCCUUUUAUGGUCACCAGCCAUUAAAUGGCUAAUGGGAAGAUGAUGUAGCGGAUUAUAGAAUUGACAUAAAAGAAACUUUAAACCUCAACCUUUAUACACCGUGCCAAAUUAGUGUUGAUUCUAAAAAAUUAACCCUCAAUGUUUUCACAUUGUGUAAUUUGGUCUUCUUCUUCUUUUUCAAACUUUCAAUUCUUUGUGACCCUUUCACUAAAAAGCUAAAAAAGAAUAUAAAUCCAUCAACUAAAUUUGAUCGGAGAUACAACAAAAACACUCGAAAAUCAAAGAUGAUAAUUUUUCAUCUUUUCUUUCUCUCAAAAUUAGCCCUCAAUGUCACAAAUAAAAGUAAAAUUGCGAGAGAGAGAGAGAGAGAGAGCUAGAGACCUAAUUACACAACGUUUACAUGUUGAAGGUAAAGAUUUUUGGGAUCAAGACUAUAUUGACACAAUGUAGAAAUGUUCAGGGUUAAAGUUGCUAUUACGCCAACUGUAAAAGAUGUCAAGUUAUCUUUUCGUUAAUAAUUUAACAGCUGGUGACCAGAAAAGAAAAUUUCGAAUAAUUGGGUGACCAGAAAAGAAAAUCUCGAAUAGUUGGGUGAUCAUUUUGUAACUUUGCGUUGUUGGGUGACCAUGACAACUCUCAUAUUUAGAGUUAUUUUAGUAUAGUUUUUUUUAUAGAAUUUUAGGGGGUAAGUUGAGCAUUUAGGUUAAAUUUUAGUACAUUUUAUAGUUUUUCAGAUUAAUUAUAUUUUAUUUGAGUUUUAUCAUUUUUAGAGUUAGUUUGGAUUCGUGUGCUAUCUUCCUCUCUAUAUUGUAAGUUUCGGAUGAAGAACGGGGGCCUUGGAGCACGGGGUAAAAUAUAGUGAAGAGAAAUCAUCUGCUCCACCAAACUUGAUUCAGUGUGGUGGAGCACAAUCUUCAAUUAAGAAUUCCAGAUAGCAAGCAGCCCACUCCACUGCGAAUUCUACGUCUAGUGGAGCCAAGCGAUUAAUACCCUAAAAAUAGAGGGUGACGUGAUUAAGCGGAAUAGGAGAGGAAAAUGAGUGAAAAAAAAAAGAACUUGGAGGCCAAGGAACAAUUCUCUUACACUAAGGGGAGCUUCAACCUUGCAAAGACGAGAAGAAAAAGAGAUCUGGAGCGCUUGGCUUUAGUUCGACGAUUAUUUUUAUCUCUAGAUUAUUUUAUUUUUACUUUUUUUUCAAAGCAAGUUUGUUUUGAGUUUCUUCUUGUGAUGUUUUCUCAACGCAACAAGAAAUAAAAUCUAUUUUCUUGGAAUGAUGAUGAAUCAUAUUUUUUAGUUAAUUAAAUAUUUUCUCUUCAACUGUUUCAAUCUCUGUUAAUUAUUUAUUCAGCUUUAUGCUUAUUUACUCUGUUUGUCCGGCCACCAAGUCGUAUUAAUUUGGUGGUCUUGAUUUGUCGUAGAAGAGAAAAAUUAAGGUUUAGGUCUAGACUAAAUAGAUUAGGAUUAACUAUAGUAGCGCUGACGAAUGAGUUAAUUUACAGCUAGGAUAGGAAUAUACCUGAUGCGCCAAUCAACCCAAUAAGCUUUUCCGUAGUGGCGUUGCUCGACUUGCCUAGCACAAGAAUAUAGCUGGUGGGGGAGGGGGAUUAACUUAGCUAGAUAUUGGGAGGGUCUAGUUAAUGCCACAGAAUCAUAGGUUAAUAAUUGUAUAGACUGAACAAUUGAAUGAGAGAUAAUUGAUUAACAUAAUUAGGUAAAUUAGAGUUCCAAGAUCUUUCAAAAUCGAUUGAGAAACUUAGUAAUUUUCAUUUUUUUUAUGUAGUUUAAUAAAAUCUCUUUAAUUCCUUUAGCUUAACUUCAGUAGUAAUUAGAAUUUCUUUUUUUGAUCCAGAUUGGAAAAAUUUGGAUAAUUGAUAUUUAGCAGCUUAAAAUUAAAUUUGGCCCUCAUAGGAAGGGCAUCAUCUUAUCACUGUAUUACUUGAUCAAUACGUGCACUUACAUAAUAAAGUUUCCCACAUAAAACCAGAAAAGAAAUUAACUAGUAAUGGAGUGGCUACCUAUAUAGUUUACCACACCAUUAGUCCUGUUGAGCAGCUCAAAGAUUUUAACAUAUAUAUAUAUAUAUAUAUAUAUAUAUAUAUUUAUGACAGAAACCUUAAUUAGGCCAUGCAUGUCUGCAAAUAUAAUAUAUAUAUACAUAUACUAACAACGUUGUACUCAUGUUACUAAUUAAAUCGAUUAAAGAUGCCUUGUGAUAAAAAAUUCAUCCAUCAUAGACGUGGGAGAAUUUUGCCAGCCAAACAGAUACUCCAAGAUCCAAGAUUCUCCAACUAAUCAGACUUCGUGCCUCCCAUUUUCUAGUUCUAAAAAAGCUUCAAAGUUCAUACAUUCCAGCUAUAAAAACCCUUUGCUCCCUUCGCCACCUUCAUCGGCAGUUCCAGCUUAAUUUCUCACAACAAAAAACUCAUUUCAUCAAUCACUUCAAAUCAUUUUCUUUUGGGAAAUGGCUUCUAAUGUUAAAGCAUCAACUGCUCUUGUUCUUUCUCUUAACCUUCUUUUCUUUGCUUUUGUAAGCUCUCACAACGUGGAAAACCCCGUUUUUAUUCAUCCCGGAGAUGUGUACCAUAAUGGCAGAAUCACUCAUGGUCAUCCCGGUACAUGCAAUCCCCUAAAUCUCGGUGUAUGCCUUGGCCUGUUGGAUUUGGUGGGUGUUAGUGUCGGAAACGUACCUACAGAACCAUGUUGCAGCGUGAUUCAAGGAUUGGUCGAUCUUGAAGCUGCAGUUUGCCUUUGCACUGCUGUCAGAGCCAAUGUGUUGGGCAUUCCCAUCCACCUUCCUAUUUCAUUGAGCCUCUUACUCAAUAAAUGUGGAAGAGAAGUAGCUACGGAAUACAUUUGCAGCCCUUAAAUAGCCUUCUUCCCCACAUUCUUUGCUUUAAUUGUGUCUUGAAGUUUCCGUUUUCUAUUUGUUCCAUUUUUUAUGUUUCCUUUCUGAUUAAGUCUUUGUAUUGUUGCUCAUGAGUUGAGGACGGCUUUCAACCUUCCCUUUCAUUUUUAUUCUAAAUAAAAUGAGAAUAUUAUUUGAACAAAAAAUCCUAUUUUAUCAUAAUGAGUUGGAAGGGGUGUUUUUAGGGGGAAAAAUCAUAAUUAAUAUUUUCAACAUUAUUUUUAAUGUUAUAUGACUACCAAGUGGAUUUUUUAUUUCAAGGUGUCAAACCAGUGAAUUUAAUAGAAGAAUUUUAACAGCUGUGACUGUUGGACUUGAAUUUCUAUAUUCAUAAAAUACAGAGAUUAGAUUCCUCAAAAUACAAGUAGGAGACUAACCUCCUAAUGCACGAAGCGUACAUAUACUUAGAGCAUAUUUUAACCUCCCAAUCAAUUAAUCAAUCCAACGCGAAGCGUGGAAACCAUACCAGUUAGUGUAAAAAUAUUGAUCGCGUAUUUUUAUAUUUCAAUUUCUUUCCUAAAUACUCAGAUAUACAAAUUUUACUUGAAACUCUAUUCUAAUGUGCAAUGUUAUACAUAAACUUUGAUUUUGUGUAAUUUGGUUUCAUCCAAUUUUUAUAAAUCUCUAACACCAUUAGCAAUGCAACACCAUUUUAUAUGUAUAUGUUGCAUCCACAAAUAUUUAUAUUUAUAUUUAUGUGAUGUAAAAUAAAAUAAAUCGAUGUAUUUAUUUCUUUAAAUACAUAUAGUUGAAUUAAAAUCAAAGUUUCAACUACACAUUUGAACCGCGAUUAAAUUUUCGUGCGCAUAAUUUCACCAAAUUAAAGUCGGUGUAUCAAAGUUCACAUUCAAUCAAAUUUCAUGUACAAUUUUGAGUUUUAUCCCUUUACUUAGAGACCAGCUACAUUACUUAUUUCAAGUGUUUUACUGAGUUGGUGUGUAAUGUGGGUUCCUAUUUAAGCCAUCAAUUAAAGAAAGAAAAAUGCAUGUGUUGAGCCGAGGGACAGAAAACAUAAAAAAUGGUAAAUGCAGUUGUAGCCGUCUAGGUAAGUUUCUCGUUUUUUUUUCUUUUUCCACCUAACUAUUAAAACUUAAAAAAUGGUCAUUCAACUGUUAGACUUCUCUUUUUAUGGUCACCAGCCAUUAAAUGGCUAAUGGGAAGAUGAUGUAGCGGAUUAUAGAAUUGACAUAAAAGAAACUUUAAACCUCAACCUUUAUACACCGUGCCAAAUUAGUGUUGAUUCUAAAAAAUUAACCCUCAAUGUUUUCACAUUGUGUAAUUUGGUCUUCUUCUUCUUUUUCAAACUUUCAAUUCUUUAUGACCCCUUCACUAAAAAGCUAAAAAAGAAUAUAAAUCCAUCAACUAAAUUUGAUCGGAGAUACAACAAAAACACUCGAAAAUCAAAGAUGAUAAUUUUUCAUCUUUUCUUUCUCUCAAAAUUAGCCCUCAAUGUCACAAAUAAAAGUAAAAUUGCGAGAGAGAGAGAGAGAGAGAGAGCUAGAGACCUAAUUACACAACGUUUACAUGUUGAAGGUAAAGAUUUUUGGGAUCAAGACUAUAUUGACACAAUGUAGAAAUGUUCAGGGUUAAAGUUGCUAUUAUGCCAACUGUAAAAGAUGCCAAGUUAUCUUUUUGUUAGUAAUUUAACAGCUGGUGACCAGAAAAGAAAAAUUUGAAUAAUUGGGUGACCAGAAAAGAAAAUCAUGAAUAGUUUGGUGAUCAUUUUGUAACUUUGCGUAGUUGGGUGACCAUAAUAACUCUCAUAUUUAGAGUUAUUUUAGUAUAGUUUUUUUUAUAGAAUUUUAGGGGGUAAAUUGAGCAUUUUGGUUAAAUUUUAGUAUAUUUUAUUUGAGUUUUAUCAUUUUCAGAGUUAGUUUGGAUUCGUGUGCUAUCUUCCUCUCUAUAUUGUAAGUUUUGGAUGAAGAACGGGGGGCAUGGAGCACAGGGUAAAAAAUAGUGAAGAGAAAUCAUCUGCUCCACCAAACUUGAUUCAGUGUGGUGGAGCACAAUCUUCAAUUAAGAAUUUCAGAUAGCAAGCAGCCCACUCCACUGCGAAUUCUACGUCUGGUGGAGCCAAGCGAUUAAUACCCUAAAAAUAGAGGGUGAUGUGAUUAAGCGGAAUAGGAGAGGAAAAUGGGUGAAAAAAAAUAACUUGGAGGCCAAGGAACAAUUCUCUUACACUAAGGGGAGCUUCAACCUUGCAAAGACGAGAAGAAAAAGAGAUCUGGAGCGCUUGGCUUUAGUUCGACGAUUUUUUUUAUCUCUAGAUUAUUUUAUUUUUACUUUUUUUUCAAAGCAAGUUUGUUUUGUGUUUCUUCUUGUGAUGUUUUCCCAACGCAACAAGAACUAAAAUCUAUUUUCUUGGAAUGAUGAUGAAUCAUAUUUUUUAGAUAAUUAAAUAUUUUCUCUUCAACUGUUUCAAUCUCUAUUAAUUAUUUAUUCAGCUUUAUGCUUAUUUACUCUGUUUGUCUGGCCACCAAGUCGUAUUAAUUUGGUGAUCUUGAUUUGUCGUAAAAGAGAAAAAUUAAGGUUUAUGUCUAGACUAAAUAGAUUAGGAUUAACUUUAGUAGCGCUGACGAAUGAGUUAAUUUACAGCUAGGAUAGGAAUAUACCUGAUGCGCAAAUCAACCCAAUAUGCUUUUCCAUAGUGGCGUUGCUCGAUUUGCCUAGCAUAGGAAUAUAGCUGGUGGGGGAGGGGGAUUAACUUAGCUAGAUACUGGGAGGGUCUAGUUAAUGCCACAGAAUCAUAGGUUAAUAAUUGUAUAGACUGAACAAUUGAAUGAGAGAUAAUUGAUUAACUUAAUUAGGUAAAUUAGAGUUCCAAGAUCUUUCAAAAUCGAUUGAGAAACUUAGUAAUUUUCAUUUUUUAUGUAGUUUAAUAAAAUCUCUUUAAUUCCUUUAGUUUAACUUAAGUAGUUAUUAGAAUUUCUUUUCUUGAUCCAGAUUGGAUAAAAUUCGAUAAUUGAUAUUUAGCAGCUUAAAAUUAAAUUUGGUCCUCAUAGGAAGGGCAUCAUCUUAUCACUGUAUUACUUGAUUAAUACGUGCACUUACAUAAUAAAGUUUCCCACAUAAAACCAGAAAAGAAAUUAACUAGUAAUGGAGUGACUACCAAUAUAGUUUACCACACCAUUAGUCCUGUUGAGCAGCUCAAAGAUUUUAACAUAUAUAUAUUUAUGACAGAAAUCUUAAUUAGGCCAUGCAUCUCUGCAAAUAUAAUAUACAUACAUAUAUAUACAUUACUAACAACGUUGUACUCAUGUUACUAAUUAAAUCGAUUAAAGAUGCCUUGUGAUAAAGAUAUCAUCCAUCAUAGACGUGGGAGAAUUUUAUAUAUAUAUAGUUGCCAGCCAAACAGAUACUCCAAGAUCCAAGAUUGUUCAACUAAUCAGACUUCGUGCCUCUCAUUUUCUAGUUCUAAAAAAGCUUCAAAGUUCAUACAUUCCAGCUAUAAAAACCCUUUGCUCCCUUUGCCACCUUUAUCGGUAGUUCCAGCUUAAUUUCUCUAAACAAAACACUCAUUUCAUCAAUCACUUCAAAUCAUUUUCUUUUGGAAAAUGGCUUCUAAUGUUAAAGCAUCAACUGCUAUUGUUCUUUCUCUUAACCUUCUUUUCUUUGCUUUUGUAAGCUCUCACAACGUGGAAAACCCCGUUUUUAUUCAUCACGGAGAUGUGUACCAUAAUGGCAGAAUCACUCAUGGUCAUCCCGGUACAUGCAAUCCCCUAAAUAUCGGUGUAUGCCUUGGCCUGUUGGAUUUGGUGGGUGUUAGUGUCGGAAACGUACCUACAGAACCAUGUUGCAGCGUAUUAAGAUUCUCUUUUCUUGUAGUUUUCCAGAAUGGAAACUAUCUUGAUUAAUUUCAGAGAAGCAUUCACGUAUUUAAUACAUGUAGGAGAGAGUAACUGACUAACCUACUGUAACAGAAACUACUAACAACUCUAACUAUUAACUAACUGUAUUAACUACUAUUAUCCCUAACAUGCCCCGUACAUAACAGUUUUCUAUUUUCAAUGAAGACUUUUCCCACUAGUACUAACAACACACAGGUGAUCGCGAAACUUAGAGAACAUUCCUGCUGACAGAGGCUUUGUUAGUAUAUCUGCAUUCUGGUCAGACGCAGAAAUAUGCUUUACAUGAAGUACGCCAUCUGUAACUUUCUCUCUGACGAAGAAUAAGUCAAUUCCGAAAUGCUUAAACUUGGAGUGCAUGACUGGAUUUCCUGCAACAGCAACUGCUGCUAAGCUGUCGCACCAUACCACGGCCUUCGUUGGUACUAAGACACCCAACUCAGUCAACAACGCCCGAAUCCACACAACUUCGGUAGUGACAAGAGCCACACUCCUGUACUCAGCUUCUACUGUUGAUCUCGAAAUAACUUGUUGCUUUCUGGAACUCCAAGAGAUUGGAUUCCCUCCGAGAAACACACAAAAACCCGAUGUUGACCUCCGAUCAUCCACAUCUGAGCCCCAGCUGGCAUCCGAAUAUCCCUCAAGUAAGAACCUUGAAGUUCGGGUGAAUUUCAACCCAUAGUCCAAAGUUCCUUGUAAAUACCUUAAAAUUCUCUUUACUGCCUUAAAGUGUAAAUCCGAAGGUUUGUGCAUAAACUGGCAAACCUUAUUCACUGAAUAUGCUAUGUCAGGCCUAGUGAUGACAACAUAUUGGAGGGCACCAACAAUACUUCUGUAUUGACGCUCAUCUUCAAUAGGACUUCCUUCAUAGGCUGACAAUCGGCUCGUGGUGACCAUAGGCGUUGGUAAACCCUUAGCUUUAUCCAUAAACACUUUCUAAAGGAGAUCAGCAACAUACUUUUUCUGAGUAAGAAACACUCCUUGAGUAGUAUAACUCACUUCUAUGCCUAAGAAAUAAUGCAGCUUGCCUAGGUCUUUGAGGGAAAACUUCUCAUUUAGCUGAGUGACAAACUCAUCUAUGAAUACGUCAUCAUUCCCUGUGAUGAUAAUGUCAUCCAUGUAAACUAACACAUAAACCAUCCGAGAGCCCGACUGUAGAAUAAACAAAGAACUGUCAGCUUUGGAUGCUUUAAACUAAAAAUCAACCAAAAACUCUCGCAACUUGUAAAACCACGCCCUUGGUGCCUGUUUGAGACCCUACAGGGCCUUUCGAAGUCGACAUACUAGCUGUUGACCAUUGGCGCCUUGCUGUUCAAACCCCGGAGGCUACAACAUGUAGAUUUCUUCUCGAAGGUCUCCAUUCAAGAACGCAUUAUUUAUGUCAACUUGUCGAAGCGACCAGUUGAAAGAGACUGCCAACGCAAGGACCACUCUUAUGGUAGUAGGCUUCACUAUAGGGCUGAAGAUUUUGCGGAAAUCUAUUCCAGCUUCUUACAAGUACCCCUUAACCACAAGUCGACCUUUAUGCCUCGCAAUAGACCCAUCUGCAUGUCGUUUGAGCUUGAAAAUCCAUUUGCAGCCAAUUGCUUUACGACCAGCUGGUAAUGGCAUGAGAUCCCACGUAUGGUUCGCAAGUAAGGCUCGAUACUCCUCCUGAGCAGCGUUCGUCCAAGUAGUACUCUGAAAAGCCUCAACUAUGGUCAACGGUUCCUUCUCUUCUAAACAUGAAGAAAACACCUUUGGCUUAAAAAUCCCGCUUUUGGCACGAGUCUGCAUGGGAUGGACGUUCAUAUUUUGUGGAACCUCCACACUGGUCUCAUGCUGAACACUUGAAUAAGACCCAUCAGCUUGUGACUCAACAACUACAGGAGAAAUUUGAGGUGAGUUGGUAGAUGAAAAACCUUGAUGGGAAGUCUCAGAAGCCAUCCGAUUGGAGCCUACAUGAGAUUGACCAUGAGAAUUCUCAGAAGAAGACCGAUUAACAACUACAGGAAGUAUGGUCUGGCCAAGCAGGUUUUGUGUAGAGGUAACUGAAGAUCGAGAACAAAAACCAUGCUGAAAAGGAAAGAGCUUCUCAUCAAAGCGAACAUGACGAGACAGAUACACUCGGCCAUCAGCAGCUAAACACCUAUAACCCUUUGUAUUAGGGGCACUGCCAAGAAACACACAAAGUUGUGAUCUGAACUGCAACUUGUGCUUUUGAAAAACUCGUAAGUCAGGAAAACAUGCACACCCAAACACUCGAAGCAGGUCAUAGCUUAGCUUAUGUUUGUGAAGUUUUUCAUACGGAUUGACAUUGCGCAGCACGGGAGUAGGCAGUCUAUUCGUCAAAUGAGCAGCAUGUGCAAAUGCAAAAUACCAGAAAUUUAAAGGAAUACCAGACUGAGCUAGGAGUGACAGUCCCAUGUCGACAACUUGGCGAUGCUUCCUCUCAGCAACUCCAUUUUGCUCCGAAGUGUAUGGACAAGUGGCUCGAUGUACGACGCCCAAGCGAGAGAGUUCCUUUUUCAGACCACGAUACUCUCCACCCAGUCCGUUUGCAACACCUUGAUAGAACACCCAAACUGCACUUUGACCAUUUGAUGAAAAUCAAAAAAACAACGAACCACCUCAGACUUGUUCUUAAGAAAGUAAAUCCACGUGUAUCGGCUAUACAUAUCAACAAAAGAAACAUAGUAACAAAAACCAUUUGAUGUCAUACAAGCUGGUCCCCAUACAUCUGAGACCACUAGCUCAAAAGGAAAGGAAUACACUGUCUUGGAUGGAGAAAAAGGAAUCUUGUGAGCUUUGCCUAGUUGACACGAACUACACAAACUAGGUAAGCUAGUCUGAUCAAAACGAACUUUACAAGACUUUAAUACAUGAUCCAACACUUUGGAACAUGGAUGGCCAAGUCGAUUAUGCCAUAAGGCAUUCGACGAGAGUUGAACAUUAUUGAGCAAACUGGAACUAUGCUUUGAGAGAGAGUGAUUAGAACCGACAGCAGACUUGGAAAAUUGAAACCGAUAAAGACCUUCAUGCAUGUGGCCCUCGAGAAGAAUCAUCCCUGUCUGUAUGUCCUUCACAAAGCCGAGAAACGGGUGAAACUCAAAAUAAACCCCAUUGUCUUUUGCAAAUUGGCCUAUAGACAUCAAGUUUUUACACACUGUAGGUACAUGCAAUACAUUCUGAAGAUGUAAGAGCCUGGAACCUGCUAAAACACUAGAGGACCCUACAUGAUCAAUAGAAACAGGCUUACCAUUCCCCAUGAGAACACGACCUGUACCUGUAUAGGGAGAGACAUUCACAAGGGUUGACCUUUCAGGCGUAAUAUGAUUUGUCGCACCCGAAUCCGGAUACCAAGUUUGAUUAGAUUGAAUUGUGGUCUACGAAGAUGGUGAUUGUGAACACGACCCUAUGCACGAACCCAUAAACGAGCAAACUAUUGCAAGAGGAGUGAAGUCACGAGACUGAUGAAAGUUAACCGACGGAGUUUGACCAGAGAAAUUUUUAUCGAACCGAUGGUAGCAGUCUUGAACCACAUGUCCAAUCUUUCCACACAGUUGACACUGUGGUCUGGACCAAGACCAUCCUCGACCACCUCUAGUUCUCCCACGCGACCAUCCUCGACCAGCACCAGUAUCUCCUUGUUUAGAAGACUGAGAAUAAGUCGACUUGGACCCUUCUCCAGAGCGACCUUGAAACUUAGUCACCAAAUUUGCUUGUACAGAAGUUUCUGUCAUCAUCUCUAAAUGUCUAGCCUUACAAUCAAGAAGCAUGUUAGUGAGUAAAUCCAAAGAAAUUGGAGUCGCAGAAGCAAACACUCGAACUGACUCAUACUCCAUAGGGAGACCAGAUAAAAUAACACUUGUUCUCUUUCCGUUACCUCACUGCCAACUGCUGCUAAACUGUCACUUAACUUUUUGACUUUGGCCAGAUACUCUUUAAUGGUUAAAUUGGCUUUCUCGAUAGAAUACAAAGCAUGACGCAAAUUCCCCACCUUAAAAUUUGAAAAGGUUCCAAACCGCUUUUCAAUCGUAGUCCAAAGAUCAACACUCGUUUUUGCUGUUGUGAGAUGAACCAUGAUUUCAUCAGUGGCUGUCGAUAGAAGCCACGACGCUAAACAUUUGUCCUGCUUCCUAAAAGCAAGAAACGCAGGAUUAUCCAACAUCUACCCAUCAACGCCUGCAAUAACUGCUGGAGGAGCUGAAACAGUCCCCAACACAAAACCUUCAAGGCUGUACCCUUCAAGGAUGAGUAACAAUUGAUGCUUCCACAGCAAAAAAUUAUGAUCAGCCAAUUUGAUUGUAUCAUGUUUAGCAAAGUACUGUACUGUCGAUAGUCCAUCAUUGCCAAGAUGCGCCGAAUGAAGCUCUUCUCCAGAACCGGUAGAACCACGUGGAGUCUCUAGUCCAGGAACUGGCUCCGUGGCCAUGAAGAAAAAUAAUGAAGAAAAACAACCACAAAAACCUUUAAAAAAAACUUAGGCUCUUGAUACCAUAUUAAGAUUCUAUUUCCUUGUAGUUUCCAGAAUGGAAACUAUCUUGAUUAAUUUCAGAGAAGCAUUCACGUAUUUAAUACAUGUAGGAGAGAGUGACUGACUAACCUACUGUAACAGAAACUACUAACAACUCUAACUAUUAACUAACUGCAUUAACUACUAUUAUCCCUAAGACAGCGUGAUUCAAGGAUUGGUCGAUCUUGAAGCUGCAAUUUGCCUUUGCACUGCUGUCAGAGCCAAUGUGUUGGGCAUUCCCAUCCACCUUCCUAUUUCAUUGAGCCUCUUACUCAAUAAAUGUGGAAGGGAAGUAGCUACGGAAUGCAUUUGUAGCCCUUAAAUAGCCUUCUUCCCCAUUCUUUGCUUUAAUUGUGUCUUGAAGUUUCCGUUUUCUAUUUGUUCCAUUUUUUAUGUUUCCUUUCUGAUUAAGUCUUUGUAUUGUUGCUCAUGAGUUGAGGAAGGCUUUCAACCUUCCCUUUCAUUUUUAUUCUAAAUAAAAUGAGAAUAUUAUUUGAACAAAAAAUCCUAUUUUAUCAUAAUGAGUUGGAAGGGGUGUUUUUAGGGGGAAAAA